rnacentral:rRNA from 1 species
AUUGAACGCUGGCGGCAUGCUUUACACAUGCAAGUCGAACGGUAACAGGGAGCUUGCUCCGCUGACGAGUGGCGAACGGGUGAGUAAUGCGUCGGAACGUGCCGAGUAGUGGGGGAUAACGCAGCGAAAGUUGUGCUAAUACCGCAUACGUACUGAGGUAGAAAGUGGGGGACCUUCGGGCCUCACGCUAUUCGAGCGGCCGACGUCUGAUUAGCUAGUAGGUGAGGUAAAGGCUCACCUAGGCGACGAUCAGUAGCGGGUCUGAGAGGAUGAACUGCCACACUGGGACUGGGACACGGCCCAGACUCCUACGGGAGGCAGCAGUGGGGAAUUUUGUACAAUGGGCGAAAGCCUGAUCCAGCCAUGCCGCGUGUCUGAAGAAGGCCUUCGGGUUGUAAAGGACUUUUGUCGGGGAGGAAAUCCCCAGCGCUAAUACCGCUGGGGGAUGACAGUACCUGAAGAAUAAGCACCGGCUAACUACGUGCCAGCAGCCGCAGUAAGAC